UUCUGUGAGGGAUAGUAGUGGCAUCCUUUUAGAAUGCUUUUUUUGGAGCAUUCUAAAUGAUAUAACGGAUAGCCCGACCGGAA
rnacentral:sRNA from 1 species